UUACAUUGAUAAGAAAACACAGCUCCGUGGGGGUGGGGGAAGACAUACAAAAAGAGUAGUUCAGUGUUGAGGAGAAUAGUUCAGGCUCAGAGGGCCUGAGUGUAAUCCUUAGUAAUUUAAAAAAGGGGUGUGCGGGGCUGGGGAUUUAGCUCAGUGGUACAGCGCUUACCUAGGAAGCGCAAGGCCCUGGGUUCGGUCCCCAGCUCCGAAAAAAAGAACCAAAAAAAAAAGGGGGGGGGUGUGGGAGAGCACAAUGUAAUCUCAGUGCUGGGUAGGCAGGCAGGUAAUCUCUGGGUCUCACUGACUGGACACAUAGCCUAUGUGGUAAGUUCAGGGCCAGAACGUGAACCCACUUCAGUCAGUCAACAGUAAAUAGAUUUGGAUGGCACCUGCACCUAAGGUUGUCCUCUGACUUCCACAUACAUACACUAGCACACGCAUGCACGCACA
rnacentral:lncRNA from 1 species